rnacentral:rRNA from 1 species
AGUUUGAUCCUGGCUCAGGAUGAACGCUAGCUACAGGCUUAACACAUGCAAGUCGAGGGGAAACGACAUCGAAAGCUUGCUUUUGAUGGGCGUCGACCGGCGCACGGGUGAGUAACGCGUAUCCAACCUGCCCACCACUUGGGGAUAACCUUGCGAAAGUAAGACUAAUACCCAAUGAUAUCUCAAGAAGCCAUCUGAAUGAGAUUAAAGAUUUAUCGGUGAUGGAUGGGGAUGCGUCUGAUUAGCUUGUUGGCGGGGUAACGGCCCACCAAGGCUACGAUCAGUAGGGGUUCUGAGAGGAAGGUCCCCCACAUUGGAACUGAGACACGGUCCAAACUCCUACGGGAGGCAGCAGUGAGGAAUAUUGGUCAAUGGGCGAGAGCCUGAACCAGCCAAGUAGCGUGCAGGAUGACGGCCCUAUGGGUUGUAAACUGCUUUUAUAAGGGAAUAAAGUGAGCCUCGUGAGGCUUUUUGCAUGUACCUUAUGAAUAAGGACCGGCUAAUUCCGUGCCAGCAGCCGCGGUAAUACGGAAGGUCCGGGCGUUAUCCGGAUUUAUUGGGUUUAAAGGGAGCGUAGGCCGGAGAUUAAGCGUGUUGUGAAAUGUAGACGCUCAACGUCUGCACUGCAGCGCGAACUGGUUUCCUUGAGUACGCACAAAGUGGGCGGAAUUCGUGGUGUAGCGGUGAAAUGCUUAGAUAUCACGAAGAACUCCGAUUGCGAAGGCAGCUCACUGGAGCGCAACUGACGCUGAAGCUCGAAAGUGCGGGUAUCGAACAGGAUUAGAUACCCUGGUAGUCCGCACGGUAAACGAUGGAUGCCCGCUGUUGGUCUGAAUAGGUCAGCGGCCAAGCGAAAGCAUUAAGCAUCCCACCUGGGGAGUACGCCGGCAACGGUGAAACUCAAAGGAAUUGACGG